rfam:Schistosoma mansoni strain Puerto Rico chromosome 1, complete genome
AUCCAGCUGAAGAGUUCCAAAUAGGACGAAACGUGCGUCCUGAGU